GACGAACCGUGCGAACGUUGUUCGGAAUCACUGGGCUUAAAGGGUGCGUAGGCGGGCUGCCAAGUCAGGGGUGAAAUCGUUCGGCCCAACCGGACAAGGGCCCCUGAUACUGGUGGCCUCGAGGGAGGUAGGGGUCGAUGGAACUUCCGGUGGAGCGGUGAAAUGCGUUGAUAUCCACAGGAACUCCGGUGGCGAAGGCGGCCCGCUGGACCCGAUCUGACGCUGAGGCGCGAAAGCCAGGGAGGCGAACGGGA
rnacentral:rRNA from 1 species